GAUGAACGCUGGCGGCGUGCUUAACACAUGCAAGUCGAGCGAGAAACUACAUGCAGACACUUCGGUAGAAGCGAGUAGCGGAAAGCGGCGGACGGGUGAGUAACGCGUAGGCAACCUGCCCUUCACAGAGGUAUAGCCUCGGGAAACCGGGAUUAAAACCACAUAAAAUCAUAGGUUCGCAUGAACCAAAGGUCAAAGAUUUAUCGGUGAAGGAUGGGCCUGCGUCUGAUUAGCUGGUUGGUAGGGUAAAAGCCUACCAAGGCGACGAUCAGUAGCCGACCUGAGAGGGUGAUCGGCCACAUUGGAACUGAGACACGGUCCAAACUCCUACGGGAGGCAGCAGUGGGGGAUAUUGCACAAUGGGGGAAACCCUGAUGCAGCAACGCCGCGUGAGGUAUGAAGGCCUUUGGGUUGUAAGCCUCUGUCCUAGGGGAAGAAAAAAAUGACGGACCCGAGGAGAAGCCCCGCA
rnacentral:rRNA from 1 species